UGUAAAGUUCAGGCUCCGAUAAGUGAGGGCGAAACCGCGAAUGGCUCAUUAAAUCAGUCAUAAUCUACUUGAUUGUUUAAAGGUUAUAUGGAUAACUGUGGUAAUUCUAGAGCUAAUACAUGCACAAAGGGGGCGACUCCGCGAGGAGAAGCUCUGCGUUUAUUAGUCUAAGACCAAUGUGGCUUACGCCUCAUUAAAAAGUGGUGACUCUGAGUAAAUAAUGGCCUUGUAGCCAUGAUGCCGACCUGGCAUACCAAAAGCUCCCUCAAAAGAGCUGCCAGGCAAAUCAAUCGAGUGUCUGCUCUAUCAACUGUGGAUGGUAGGGUAAUUGCCUACCAUGGUGAUGACGGGUAACGGGGAGUUAGGGCUCGACUCCGGAGAACAAGCCUGAGAAACGGCUAGUAGGACUAAGGUCUGCAGCAGGCGCGAAACUUACACAAUGCUAGAUUACCAUUAGCGAUGUAGUGAAGUGAAAUAACGAUGUAUUGGGUUUUUAAAGACCUAGUACAAUUGGAAUGAGACGACUUUAAACAAGUUAGUCGAGUAACAAAUGGAGGGCAAGUCUGGUGCCAGCAGCCGCGGUAAUUCCAGCUCCAUUAGCAUACAUUAAAGUUGUUGCGGUUAAAAAGCUCGUAGUUGAAUUUCUGGCGGGCUCUAUUGGAUGGUGGUCGUGAAGGCUAUUCUGAUGGUUAUCCUAACGGAUGCCUCAAUUAGCUGGCCAUCCUAUCCUAUAGGAACCCGUUGUUUCGUCACUUGUUCGAGUGCGAAGCGGGGUGGCAUUUAGGCAAUCCCCAAGGGGAAUGUUCUCAAAUAUCACCAUGUUUACCUUGAGAAAAUUAGAGUGCUCAGAGCAGGCAGUUGGGGUGUAAAAGCCCCUUUAUGCUUGAAUAAUGUUGCAUGGAAUAAUAGAAUACGGCCUCGGUUCUAUUCUGUUGGUCUUAUAGAACAACAAAUAAGUUGGUUGCGGCACCAAAUGGCUCCAUGUUGGGUCUGUGGUUAGAGGCUCUCUGCUUAUUUGUGCUCGUUGUCUGGGGCCUAAAAAUCCCAGUACCUUCGCAAAUUUGUCAGAUCCUCUCUCCAUUCCAAAGCAGGCCCCUUGGAGCUAGCCAACAAUCAACUGAGGCAAUGGUUAAAAGAAAUAGCUGCGGCGGCAUCAGUACUGCAUCGUGAGAGGUGAAAUUCUUAGACCGAUGC
rnacentral:rRNA from 1 species